rnacentral:rRNA from 1 species
UACGUAGGGUGCAAGCGUUGUCCGGAAUUAUUGGGCGUAAAGAGCUCGUAGGCGGUCUGUCACGUCGGCUGUGAAAACCCGAGGCUCAACCUCGGGCCUGCAGUCGAUACGGGCAGACUAGAGUGCGGUAGGGGAGACUGGAAUUCCUGGUGUAGCGGUGAAAUGCGCAGAUAUCAGGAGGAACACCGGUGGCGAAGGCGGCGAUCUGGGUCGAUACUGACGCUGGAGGUGACGAAAGCGUGGGGAGCAAACAGG